GACGAACGCUGGCGGCGUGCUUAACACAUGCAAGUCGAACGGAAAGGCCUUUUCGGAGGUACUCGAGUGGCGAACGGGUGAGUAACACGUGGGUGAUCUGCCCUGCACUCUGGGAUAAGCCUGGGAAACUGGGUCUAAUACCGGAUAGGACCGCACUUUAGUGUGUGUGGUGGAAAGUUUUUUCGGUGUAGGAUGAGCCCGCGGCCUAUCAGCUUGUUGGUGGGGUAAUGGCCUACCAAGGCGGCGACGGGUAGCCGGACUGAGAGGUUGGUCGGCCACAUUGGGACUGAGAUACGGCCCAGACUCCUACGGGAGGCAGCAGUGGGGAAUAUUGCACAAUGGGCGCAAGCCUGAUGCAGCGACGCCGCGUGGGGGAUGACGGCCUUCGGGUUGUAAACUCCUUUCGCCAGGGACGAAGCGUUUUGGGACGGUACCUGGAGAAGAAGCACCGGCUAACUACGG
rnacentral:rRNA from 1 species